rnacentral:rRNA from 1 species
AACGCUGGCGGCGCGCCUAACACAUGCAAGUCGAACGAGCGAGAGAGAGUUUACUUUUUCGAGCGAGCGGCGAACGGGUGAGUAACGCGUGAGGAACCUGCCUCAAAGAGGGGGACAACAGUUGGAAACGACUGCUAAUACCGCAUAAGCCCACGACCCGGCAUCGGGUAGAGGGAAAAGGAGCAAUCCGCUUUGAGAUGGCCUCGCGUCCGAUUAGCUAGUUGGUGAGGUAAUGGCCCACCAAGGCGACGAUCGGUAGCCGGACUGAGAGGUUGAACGGCCACAUUGGGACUGAGACACGGCCCAGACUCCUACGGGAGGCAGCAGUGGGGAAUAUUGCACAAUGGGGGAAACCCUGAUGCAGCGACGCCGCGUGGAGGAAGAAGGUCUUCGGAUUGUAAACUCCUGUUGUUGAGGAAGAUAAUGACGGUACUCAACAAGGAAGUGACGGCUAACUACGUGCCAGCAGCCGCGGUAAAACGUAGGUCACAAGCGUUGUCCGGAAUUACUGGGUGUAAAGGGAGCGCAGGCGGGAAGACAAGUUGGAAGUGAAAUCCAUGGGCUCAACCCAUGAACUGCUUUCAAAACUGUUUUUCUUGAGUAGUGCAGAGGUAGGCGGAAUUCCCGGUGUAGCGGUGGAAUGCGUAGAUAUCGGGAGGAACACCAGUGGCGAAGGCGGCCUACUGGGCACCAACUGACGCUGAGGCUCGAAAGUGUGGGUAGCAAAC